UGGAGUGUGGUGUAGUGGUUUGAGUGUCAGACUACAACUCUGGAGACUAGGGUUCGAGUCCCUACUCAGCCA